rnacentral:rRNA from 1 species
GUAGGUGGCAAGCGUUGUCCGGAAUUAUUGGGCGUAAAGCGCGCGCAGGCGGUUCUUUAAGUCUGAUGUGAAAGCCCACGGGCUCAACCGUGGAGGGUCAUUGGAAACUGGAGAACUUGAGUACAGAAGAGGAAAGCGGAAUUCCACGUGUAGCGGUGAAAUGCGUAGAGAUGUGGAGGAACACCAGUGGCGAAGGCGGCUUUCUGGUCUGUAACUGACGCUGAGGCGCGAAAGCGUGGGGAGCAAACAGGAUUAGAUACCCUGGUAGUCCACGCCGUAAACGAUGAGUGCUAAGUGUUAGGGGGUUUCCGCCCCUUAGUGCUGCAGCUAACGCAUUAAGCACUCGCCUGGGGAGUACGGCCGCAAAGGCUG